AUUGAACGCUGGCGGCAGGCCUAACACAUGCAAGUCGAGCGAGCGGCGGACGGGUGAGUAAUGUCUGGGAAACUGCCUGCUGGAGGGGGAUAACUACUGGAAACGGUAGCUAAGAGCGCAUACCAUCAGAUGUGCUCAGAGGGGAUGAGCUAGUAGGUGGGGUAAUGGCUCACCUAGGCGACGAUCCCUAGCCGGUCUGAGAGGAUGACCAGCCACACUGGAACUGAGACACGGUCCAGACUCCUACGGGAGGCAGCAGUGGGGAAUAUUGCACUAUGGGCGAAAGCCUGAUGCAGCCAUGCCGCGUGUGUGAAGAAGGCCUUCGGGUUGUAAAGCACUUUCAGCAGGGAGGCGUUACUCGCAGAAGAAGCACCGGCUAACUCCGUGCCAGCAGCCGCGGUAAUAC
rnacentral:rRNA from 1 species